rnacentral:piRNA from 1 species
UCGUGAUAGGUAGCCCACACACCGCCAGC